ensembl:snRNA U6 U6 spliceosomal RNA
AUGCUCAUAUUGGCAGUGCACACAUUAAAAUUGGAGUGAUACACCUAAGAUUAUCAUGGACCCUGCAUAAGGAGGGCAUACAAAUUCAAGAAGCAUUCCAUAUUUUA